rnacentral:rRNA from 1 species
UACGAGGGGGGCAAGUGUUGUUCGGAAUCACUGGGCGUAAAGGGAGCGUAGGCGGGUUUCUAAGUCAGGUGUUUAAUCCCGGGGCCCAACCCCGGACAGGCACUUGAAACUGGGAAUCUUGAAUAGUGGAGAGGUCAGUGGAAUUGGGGGUGUAGCGGUGGAAUGCGUAGAGAUCCCCAAGAACACCAGUUGCGAAGGCGGCUGACUGGACACAUAUUGACGCUGAGGCUCGAAAGCAUGGGGAGCAAACAGG